rnacentral:lncRNA from 1 species
CCUGGUCACUUCCUGAAGUUUUUUACAUUUGGUUUGUUGGAUUCAUAAUUCAAAGACUGUACUUUGCAUCUGAUGCUCUCUUAGGUCUCCCCCCUCCUUAUUUCUUUAACAUGCAUUAAAAGUUUAUAUCUACUAAGUGAUACAAUUGGGUUUGUUUACUUAGAACAGUUGUUUUCACAAACUUUCAAGUAAAAUACAUUCUCAAAAAAAACAGGCAGCUGAGUAUAAUUAUUCUGUAUAAACUCGGUGUAAUUACUGAUGUUAACAGUCCUAGUUCUGACUUGUAUUUCUUGAGUUCAUGCAUUCAAAUCCUCAUUCUGCCAGGAUUUUUAUUCUUAAUUAUUUCAUGGAAAAUUUCACUGUAUGCACGUCAACAGACUAGUAUAGUGAACCCUAUUUAUCC